rnacentral:lncRNA from 1 species
CGCCUCCAGAAUCUGCCGAAGUAAUCUGACUUUAUGCGGACGCUUCCAUCGUGAGUGGUGAAGACCUCGUUCCCCACCGUCGGGUCUCCAAUGUCACUUGAUGCGAACUCCAGAUAUGGGUGUCCCUCGAUCUUCCGGGCACUGAGGUAGUGGCCAUUAUCGCCCUUGAAGGCGAUAUGUUUUGGCAAUAUCAAUAGUGAUUCCCAAUCAAUGAUUGUACAGACAUCGCAGAGGUCGUUGUCAGCCGAAGUUGAUCCUGCAAACAAACAGGAACCAUAAGGAGGUGGAAGCCUCCAUAAGCAUGCAUAGUGUCCGAGCUGGACGUGGCGAAAUCGGAGUGUUUGAGCAUCGCCAUCUACGUGCACAGGCUCGAACAAGGUGCAUGACCAUGACGAUUGGUCUUCAUCUGGUUCGUCCGCCCCGGCAACAAUCCACCAGUGGUUCUUGGACCACCUUACCCAGUAUUUGUUGUUGUAGCAGCAUCUUAUGUGCACUAGUCCCCCGCCAUUCUUUGCCCUCUCCACUUGGUACUUUGAGUAGGGUGUCACGACCUCCUCUCCCGAGAAUUGGAGAAAUCCAUGAAUUUGCACAUCUUCAUGGAUGUACCGCAAGUACUUGUUGUUAUAUUUUGAUUUGAGCACCACAUACCUUGGUAAUGCCAUUUCCUCUUUAAUCACUUCUCACUGCACUUUUCUUCCCUUCACUCGGCCUUAUUUAUAAGGGAAAAAACUAUACUUAGAUGUGAAACCAUAUUUCACAUCGUAGACUUUCAUUUGCAUUCCCAUUCUGAUUUGGUAGAUAAAUUUAAGAUGCUAUUUAUUCCUCUGGGUCCCGCAACUUUCAUUGAAUAUCAUUAAUAGCAAGACUAAAACCACAUGUCAAAUUGUAGACUUUUACUCGUAUUCUCAUUUACAUUCCCGUUCUCAUUUGGUAGAUACAAAUAAAUUUAAGAUGCUAUACAUUUCUGUGUCCCACAACUUUUAUUGAAUAUCAUUGAUAGCAAGACUUAAACCACAUGUCAAGUUGUAAACUUUGAUUUGUAUUCUCAUUUGCAUUCUUGUUCUCAUUUGGUAGAUAAAGAAAUUUAAGAUCCUAUAUAUUUAUGUGUCCCACAACUUUUAUUGAAUAUCAUUAAUAGCAAGACUAGAACCACGUCAAAUUAUAGACUUUGAUUCGUAUUCUCAAUUGCAUUACCAUUCUCAUUUGGUAAAUGUAUAUACCAAUAAAUCAAGACAUCCUUUCUUUCCAUUGCAUGCUUAGUGUGGAUAAGAAAGACUCCCAUAAAACAAAUAAUGUAUAUAUGACAUAAAAAUAAAACUAUGCAUUAAACAUAAAACAUUUUAGUGGUAAAAAUAGUAAAUUGGAUUGCAAAUAGUGAGAUUUCAUUAAUAAUCAUAUAACCUAUAAAGACACGUUGAUGGUAGAAGUUAGGUUUUUUGGGUCUCCUAUAAAUAAUUUCACAUGACAUCUAUUAUUAAUACACACUUCUAUAACACUCUCACUAGCCAUUUAACAAUCGUCGAUAGUCUAUAACUCAUACAUUGACUACCAUAAUUUUUUUUUGCUUUCCAUUAUUUUAUUUUUCUCUUCAGUAUAAUAUUUAUAAUAUGAUAAUAUUGAUUAUUUAGAUUUUGUGAGAAAUAAGAAGAUAAAUACAUGAUCUAGUUUUAUUCCUAAUUGAAUAAACCAAAAACUAAAUUUAAAUAUAUAUAAAACCAUGUUUCACAUUGUGGAUUUAGAUUCACAUUCCCAUUUGCAUUCUCAUUCUUAUUUGGUGGAUAGCAAUGAUAUAAUAUAUUAUUUCUUCCAUUAUAUAUGUCUCUCAAUAUGAAUUAAACUACAAGACAUCAUUUCUUUCUAUAUCACAUGCUUGGCUAAUGAUAAGAAAGACUUUGACAUAACAAGUAAUAUGAAUGCGUGAAAUGUAAAAGAUUUAAUGGAGAAAAGGAUAAGAGUGAACAUAAGUGGUAAGUGGUGGGAUUUCCUUAAUCAUUAAUAAUUAAUAAUGAUAGAAGUUAGGUUUGUCAAGUCUUCCUUUGUAAAUAAUUAUUAUUUUACUAGAAUUUAUAAAUACACAAAAAAAAAUAGUAGUAGAUGUGAAUCUCAUGUAAAAAGCUAAUCUUGAGUGAUAAAUGGUGUUAACCCUUAUGAGAAGAGUCGUCUUUAAUUCUAAUUUUUGUGGGAUUGGAAACAUGACUCGGAUUGGAUCAAACAAAUGAAAUUGAUUUUUCAAAAUUUUAUAUUUUAUUGCAUCAAUAAAUAUCUUAAUCUAAUAUAUAAUUUAUCAACCUUUUAAAUUAUGAAAACAAAAUUGACUUAAUAUAUAUAAUUUUUAAACUUGUGUUUCAAUACCCAAUCACUGGUCAUUAAAAAGUCAUCAAUUUCAAAUAUUCUAUAACUCAUACAUGGACUUCUAAAUUUUAUUUUUUCAACUGACUUUAUUUUCUCUUAAGUAUAAUUGUCAAAACUAGAUAAUAUUGAUUAUUUAGAUUUUAUGACAAAUUUGAAGAUAAAAUAUACAAUCCAACUUGUUCCAAAUUGAACUAACCAAAAAUUAAAUUUAAAUGUAAAACCAAAAUUUACUUUAUAGACUAAGAUUUGCAUUCCCAUUUGAAUUCUCAUUCUUAUUUUGUGAAUACUAAUAAAUUAAAAACACUAUUUCUUUCUAUAUGCAUGCCUCACAACAUUUAUUGGAUAUCACUAACAGCAAGACUAAAACAAGGCUUCACAUUCUAUACUUCGAUUCUCUUUUCCAUUUGCAGCUCCAUUCUCAUUUGGGGGAUACCAAUAAAUCUAAAACAUAAUUUCUCUUUAUAUAUCUCACAAAAUUUAUUAGAUAUUAGUAAAUGUGUGACGUCAUAUUUCUUUUUAUCACAUGCUUGGUAAAGAUAAGGACUCACAAAACAUAUAACAUUGAGGGGUGAAAAUGGUUAAGCGAUUUGUAAGCAGUGAGAUUUGAUUAAUACUUAUAUAACCUACAAAGACAUGUUGAUGGUAGAAGUUAGGUUUGUUGGAUCUCCUUUUGUAAAGAAUUAUUAUUUUACAUGACAUAUUAAUACUCACUCCAAAAAUAAGUGGACGUAGAACAUCAUAUGAAAUAAUAAUGAUGGAUGAUGAAUAAAGUUAAUUUCCAAAAGAAGAGUCUCUCUGACGAUUUUGAGUGGGAUUGGGAAAAGAUAGAUUAAUUUGGACCAAGAAAAUCAAUUUGACUUUUAAAAAUUUUAAAUUUUGUCGGAUUUAUUUAAAAAGAAGCUAAAAUUUUCAAUCUAAUAUAUGAAUAAUCAACAUGUUAAAUGGUUGAAAACUGAAUUCACUAGGAUAUAUCUAGAAUUUUUAAAUUUGUGUGUCAAUCUACUAUGACAUCUCACCAGUUAUCAAAUAAGCAUCAAUGAGCAUAAUAUGAUAAUAUCGAUUAUUAAGAUUUUAUGAAAAAUAUGAAGAUAAAAUACAUGAUCUAGGUCCAUUCUUAAUUGAAUUAAUCAAAAAUUAAAUUUAAAUGUAAAACCAUGUUUCACAUGGUAGACUUAGAUUUACAUUCCCAUUCCCAUUUGCAUUCUCAUUCUCAUUCUCGUUUGGUAGGUACCAAUAAUAUAAGAUAUUAUAUUUCCUUUAUAUGUAUAUGUCUCACAACAUUUAUCAAACUACAAGACAUCCUUUCUUUCUACAUCACAUGUUUGGAUAAGGAUAGGAAAGACCUUGACAUAGUAAGUCACAUAUUUAGCAUAAAAAUAAAUUUGAAAUCAUGAAAGGUAAAGUAUUCAAUGAAGAAAAUGGUAGAGUGGACUACAAGUGGUGGGAUUUUCAUUAAUAGUUAAAUAACUUAUAGAGACAUGUUCAUGGUAGAAGUUAGAUUUGUCAGUCUCACUCUUUAAAUAAUUAUUGGAUGUGACAUCUAUAAAUACACACAAAAAAAGAAGUAGAUGUAGAAUCUGAAGUAAAAACUAAUCCUAAGUUAUGAAUGAGGUUAACUCCUAUGAGAAGAGUUUUUAAUAUUAAUUUUUAUGGUGUUGAAAAAAUGAAUAGAUCACAAUCAUCCAUUCCUAAUAAUUCAUAACCCUUAUAUUGAUUCCUAUAUUUUAUAUUUUUAGUUGAUUUUAUUUUUUCUCUUAAGCAUAAUUGUCACAGCAUAGUACUAUUGAUUAUUUGGAUUUUAUGACAAAUUUGAACAAGAAGUAUAUGAUCCAACUUUUUGAAAACUUGAAUUAACCAAAAAUUAUAUUUAACUUAAAACGGUAACUCACAUAAUAAACUAAGAUUUGCAUCCUCACUUGCAUUCGCAUUCUCAUUUAGAGGAUACCAAUAAAUAAAAGACAUCAUUUCUUUCCAUGUCUUACAACAUUUAAAAACUAUGUUGCACAUUUUAAACUUAAAUUCAUAUUCACAUUCCCAUUUCUGCUCUCAUUUGGUGGAUACAAACACUUACAAGACGUGAUUUCUCUCUAUUUGACUCACUACAUUUAUUAGAUAUUAGUAAUCGCAAGACUUUCUUCUUCUUUUUUUCUAUCAAGUUCACAAAACAAGUUAUAUAUCACACAUAAAAAUAAAAAAUAAAAAAAUAAAAAAAUAAAAAGUAUUCACUAUAACAUAAAGCAUUGAAUGGUGAAAAUAGUAAAGUAUACUACAAGUAGUGAGAUUUCAUUAAUAAUUUUACAAACUAUGAAGAUAUGUUGUUGGUAGAAGUUAGGUUUGUUGGGUCUCCUUCUAUAAAUAAUUAUUAUUUUACAUGACAUCUACUAAUACCCACUCCAAAAAUAAGUAGACUUAAAACCUAAUGUGAAAUAAUAACCAAAGAUGGUAAAUAAGGUUAAUUUCCAUAAGAAGAGUCUCUCUUAUAAUUUAGUGGGGUUCAAAAAAGAUGAAUUGAUUUGGACAAAGCAAAAUCAAUUUGAUUUUUCAUCAACGUAUAUUUGCACUAAGAGCAUGUCAUUUUCUUUGGUUUUUAUGAAAAGAGUUGUGUCUAUUUUUCCCAUUUUAAAACCCUCUUUCAAAAGAAAUUUACUCAAUCUUUCAUACCAUGCUCUAGGUGCUUGUUUCAAACCAUAAAAUGCCUUUUUAAGUUUAAAAACAUGAUUAGGAAGGUUAAAACUUUGAAAAUCGGGCGGUUGUUCUGUUGGGCUUUGUGGAGCCUAGUUUUGUUUGAUCCGGUUUGGCGACCUGACCCAAAUAAUAUUGCAUGACUUUUUAAUGGGAGAUUCACUAAGGCUUGUUGGGCCCGUUUAGCCCAUUGUGGAACCACCUUUUGUAAUUAGGGUUUUUAAGUGUAGUGUGGUUGCCAUGUUAUAUAUAGAGAGAAAAUAUUGUAGCCGCUGUGGUGGUACUCUAUAUUUUUCCCUGAUAAUAGUGAUAUCCCUACAACUCCGUGGACGUAGGCAAAUUGCCGAACCAUGUAAAUAUUGUCUUGUGCAUGUGAUUGUUUUUCUUUGGCGUGUGUUUUCUCUAAUUUUUGUUUCUCACGGGUUGGGAAUUCGGUUUAAUUCCCUACAACUGGUAUUAGAGCCUAGGGUUAGGUUUGAGUGGGAGCAAUGGAAAAAGAAGCAGGAAAGGCAUCUGGAAUAGAAAAGUUUGAUGGCACAGACUUUGCGUAUUGGAAGAUGCAGAUUGAAGAUUAUCUCUAUGGGAGGAAAUUGCAUCUACCUCUUUUGGGGACAAAACCUGAGAGUAUGAAGGCUGAGGAAUGGGCGCUUCUUGACAGACAGGUUCUAGGAGUUAUUAGGUUAACUCUGUCUAGGUCUGUUGCACACAAUGUUGUAAAGGAGAAGACCACAGCAGAUCUAAUGAAGGCUUUGUCCAGUAUGUAUGAAAAGUUGUCCUCAAACAAUAAGGUGCAUCUGAUAAAGAAAUUGUUCAAUUUGAAGAUGGCAAAGAAUGCAUAAAUAGCACAACAUCUGAAUGAAUUUAAUACAAUCACAAAUCAAUUAUCGUUUGUAGAAAUUGAUUUUGAUGAUGAGAUUCGUGCUCUAAUCGUCUUGGCUUCUUUGCUAAACAGUUGGGAGGCAAUGAGGAUGACAAUAAGCAAUUCUACAGGAAAGGAAAAGCUCAAAUACAAUGAUAUACAAGAUUUAAUUCUGGCUGAGGAGAUUCACCGAAGAGAUGCAGGCGAAACCUCAGGAUCUAGUUUUGCCCUAAACCUUGAGACAAGAGGCAGAGGUAAUGACAAAAAUUCAAACCAGGGUAGAUCAAAAUCUAGAAAUUCUAAUCGGAACAGAAGCAAAUCUAGAUCAAGCCAACAAGUACAAUGUUGGAACUGUGGGAAAACAGGUCACUUUAAAAGGCAAUGCAAAAUCCCUAAGAAGAAGAAUGAAGAUGAUUCUACUAAUGUUGUAACAGAAGAGGUACAACAUGCAUUACUUCUUGUAGUAGACAGUCCACUCGAUGAUUGGGUUUUGGAUUCAGGAGCUUCGUUUUAUACCAUUCCACACCGAGAAAUCAUACAGAAUUAUGUUGCAGGUGAUUUUGGUAAGGUGUAUUUGGCUGAUGGUUCAGCCUUGGAUGUUGUGGGUCUGGGAGACGUCCGAAUAUCGUUACCCAAUGGGUCUGUUUGGUUACUGGAGAAGUUCGACAUAUUCCUGACCUAAGGAGGAAUCUGAUUUAUGUUGGACAACUUGAUGAUGAAGGACAUGCAAUACUAUUUGUUGGUGGUACUCGGAAGGUUACAAAGGGAACUAGGGUAUUGGCUCGUGGAAAAAAGACCGGUACACUGUAUAUGACCUCAUGUCCAAGAGACACAAUUGCAGUUGCUGAUGCAAGUACUGAUACAAGCCUAUGGCACCGUAGACUUGGUCACAUGAGUGAGAAAGGGAUGAAGAUAUUGUUAUCAAAAGGGAAACUACCAGAAUUGAAGUCCAUUGAUUUUGACAUGUGUGAAAGUUGCAUCUUAGGAAAACAAAAAAAAAGUGAGCUUCUUGAAAACUGGCAGGACACCGAAGGCUGAAAAAUUGGAACUAGUACACACUGAUUUGUGGGGGCCUUCUCUGGUUGCAUCCCUUGGUGGUUCAAGGUACUACAUCACUUUUAUUGAUGACUCAAGCAAAAAGGUAUGGGUUUAUUUUCUGAAAAAUAAAUUUGAUGUAUUUAAAGCUUUUAAGAAGUGGAAGGUCAUGGUUGAGACAGAAACAGAUUUGAAAGUAAAAUGUUUGAGGUCAGAUAAUGGAGGAGAGUACAUAGAUGGAGGGUUUAGUGAGUAUUGCGUUGCACAGGGAAUUAGAAUGGAGAAGACCAUUCCUGGGACACCACAGCAGAAUGGUGUGGUUGAGCGCAUGAACAGAACUCUCAAUGAGCGUGCUAGAAGAUGAGGUUGUAUGUUGGACUACCAAAAACUUUUUGGGCUGAUGCUGUUAGCAUUGCAGCUUACCUGAUAAACCGAGGACCAUCAGUUCCUAUGGAAUUCAGACUUCCUGAGGAGGUUUAGAGCGGUAAAGAGGUGAAGUUUUCACAUUUAAAAGUUUUUUGUUGUAUUUUUUAUGUUCAUAUUGAUUUUGAUGCUCGUAGUAAACUUGAUGCAAAGUCAAAAAUAUGUUUUUUCAUUGGCUAUGGUGAUGAGAAAUUUGGCUAUAGGUUUUGGGAUGAACAAAACAGGAAAAUCAUCAGAAGUAGAAAUGUGAUAUUUAAUGAACAGGUUAUGUACAAUGACAGGUCAACUGUAGUGUCAGAUGUUACAGAGAUAGAUCAAAAGAAAUCUGAGUUUGUCAACUUAGAUGAAUUGAUUGAAAGUAUUGUCCAAAAAGGGAGUGAAGAAGAUAAGGAGAAUGUAAAUUCACAAGUAGAUCAAAGUACACCUGUAGCUGAAGUUCGCAGAUCUUCCAGGAACAUUAGACCUUCACAGCGUUAUUCACCUGUUUUAAAUUAUCUCCUGUUGACUGAUGGUGGUGAGCCAGAGUGUUAUGAUGAGCCUUGUAAGAUGAGAAUUCAAGCAAGUGGGAGUUAAUCAUGAAGGAUGAGAUGGAUUCCUUGUUGGGGAAUCAAAUAUGGGAACUGACUGAAUUGCCAGUAGGAAAGAAGGCUUUGCACAACAAGUGGGUAUACAAAAUAAAGAAUGAGCAUGAUGGUAGCAAACGUUACAAGGCCAGAUUAGUUGUUAAAGGGUUCCAACAGAAGGAGGGCAUUGACUACACAGAGAUAUUUUCUCCAGUUGUGAAGAUGUCAACAAUUAGACUUGUACUUGGAAUGGUGGCUGCAGAAAACUUACAUCUUGAGCAGUUAGAUGUGAAGACAACAUUCUUUCAUGGUGACUUGGAGGAAGACCUUUACAUGAUUCAACCAGAAGGGUUCAUUGUUCAUGGACAAGAGAAUCUAGUCUGCAAACUGAAAAAGAGCUUGUAUGGCCUUAAACAAGCUCCUAGACAAUGGUACAAGAAGUUUGACAAUUUUAUGCAUAGAAUUGGGUUCAAGAGAUGUGAAGCUGAUCAAUGUUGCUAUGUUAAGUCCUUUGACAAUUCUUACAUCAUAUUACUAUUGUAUGUGGAUGAUUUUCUUAUUGCAGGGUCUGACAUUGAAAAGAUUAAUAAUCUGAAGAAGCAAUUGUCCAAACAGUUUGCAAUGAAGGAUUUGGGAGCUGCAAAGCAAAUCCUUGAUAUGAGAAUCAUUAGAGACAAGGCUAAUGGUACAUUGAAGCUUUCACAGUCAGAGUAUGUGAAGAAAGUUCUUAGCAGGUUCAACAUGAAUGAAGCUAAACCAGUGAGCACACCCUUGGGUAGUCAUUUCAAACUAAGCAAAGAACAGUCACCGAAGACAGAAAAAGAAAGGGACCAUAUGAGCAAGGUGCCCUAUGCCUCAGCUAUUGGCAGCUUGAUGUAUGCUAUGGUGUGUACAAGGCCAGACAUUGCACAUGCAGUGGGAAUUGUGAGUAGAUUCAUGAGUAGGCCUGGAAAGCAGCAUUGGGAGGCAGUCAAGUGGAUUCUAAGAUAUCUGAAGGGUUCAUUAGAUACAUGUCUUUGCUUCACAGGUGCAAGUUUGAAACUGUAGGGUUAUGUAAAUGCUGAUUUUGCUGGUGAUAUUGAUAGUAGAAAGAGUACUACUGGGUUUGUUUUUACUCUAGGUGGUACAACUAUAUCAUAGGCUUCAAAUCUACAGAAGAUUAAUUGUUACUUUGUCUACUACAGAAGCUGAAUAUGUUGCAGCAACUGAAGUUGGAAAGGAGAUGAUUUGGCUACAUGGUUUCUUAGAUGAAUUAGGUAAGAAGCAGGAGAUGGGCAUUCUACACAGUGAUAGUCAGAGUGCAAUUUUUCUUGCCAAAAAUUCGGCUUUUCAUUCAAAGUCGAAGCAUAUACAAACAAAAUACCACUUUAUCCGUUAUCUUGUUGAAGAUAAACUGGUAAUACUUGACAAGAUUUGUGGAUCUAAGAACCCGGCAGACAUGUUGACUAAGGGUGUCACUAUUGAGAAGUUGAAGUUGUGCGCAGCUUCAAUUGGUCUUCUAGCUUGAGGACAGGAGGAUGAGUUGUAGGGAUGAAGGAUUGUUUCUUGGAUGAUAGCGGUUUGAUGUUGGUGAUUGAACUAAUCUCCAAGUGGGAGAUUUGUUGGGCUUUGUGGAACCUAGUUUUGUUUGAUCCGGUUUGGCAACCUGACCCGAAUAAUAUUGCAUGGCUUUUUAAUGGGAGAUUCACUAAGGCUUGUUGGGCCCGUUUAGCCCAUUGUGGAACCACCUUUUGUAAUUAGGGUUUUUUAGUGUAGUGUGGUUGUUAUGUUAUAUAUAGAGAGAAAAUAUUGUAGCCGCUGUGGUGGUACUCUAUAUUCUUCCCUGAUAAUAGUGAUAUCUCUGCAACUCCGUGGACGUAGGCAAAUUGCCGAACCACGUAAAUACUGUCUUGUGCGUGUGAUUGUUUUUCUUUGGCGUGUGUUUUCUCUAAUUUUUGUUUCUCAUGGGUUGGGAAUUCAGUUUAAUUCCCUACAUGUUCAACUUAUACCUCUUCAUUUAUAAAGCCAUUUAAGAAAGCACUUUUCACAUCCAUUUGAUAUAAAACAAAGUCUUUAAAACAUGCAAAGGCAAUUAGCAUCCUAAUGGCUUCCAAUCUAGCUACGGGAGCAAAGGUUUCUUCAUAAUCUAUCACUUCUUCUUUAUUAAAACCUUGGGCUACCAAUCUUGCUUUAUUCCUUAUAAUUAUGUCAUUUUCAUCCAUUUUAUUUCUAAAGACCUAUCUAGUUCCAAUAACACUUUGAUUUUGAGGUCUUGGCACUAAUUCCCAUACUUCACUCCUUUCAAAUUGAUUUAACUCUUCUUGCAUGGCAAUCAUCCAAUUUUCAUCAAUUAGAGCAUCUUUUAUAGUUUUAGGUUCAAUUUGAGAGAUAAAAGCAAGAUUAUUGCAAAUAUUUCUAAGAGAUGAUCUAGUUCUUACCCCACUAGAUGGAUUACCUAUAAUUUGAUCUUGUAGGUGGUUGAUGACAAACUUCCAAUCUUUAGGGAGGUCUUGGCUUGAUUCACCUUGCACUUGUUGAAGAGGAGGUAGUGCCAAAGGUGAUUCUUCUUUCUUGGGAUCCUCUACAACUUCUUCUUAUUGCCUUCUAUCUUCAAUUUGUAAUUUUCCCAUAGAGGUCUCCAACCCUAAAUCAUCAUCAAAGCUCUCUCUUUCUUGGAGAGAAUUGUUAGAUUCAUAAAAAAUAACAUGGAUGGACUCCUUAACAACCAUGGUUCUUUUGUUAAAAACUCUAAAGGCUUUACUUGAAGUUGAGUAACCAAGAAAAAUUCCAACAUCCGAUUUUGCAUCAAAUUUUCCAAAUUUGUCUUUAGUGUUUAAUAUAAAUCAUUUGCACCCAAAGACUUUGAAAUAGCUAAUGUUGGGUUUCUUGUUUUUCCAAAGCUCAUAGGGAGUUUUCUUAAGAAUAGGCCUUAAUAAAAUUCUAUUUAAAACAUAACAAGAAGUGUUAACCGCUUCAGCCCAAAAGUAUUUUGGUAAAUUGUUUUCAUUUAGUAUGGUUCUAGCCAUUUCUUGAAGAGUUCUAUUUUUCCUUUCAACUACCCCAUUUUGUUGAGGAGUUCUAGGAGCCGAAAAUUUGUGAUUAAUACCAUGCUCAUUGCAAUAGUCUUCAAAAUUAAUAUUUUCAAAUUCUCUCCCAUGAUCACUUCUUAUACAAGUAAUUGUAAAACCUUUUUCAUUUUGAACCUUGUUGCAAAACUUUGAAAACUCAUAAAAGGCUUCAUUCUUUUGACUUAAAAAUAAGACCCAAGUGUAUCUAGAGAAGUCAUCCACAAUAACAAAAGCAUAAGAUUUUCCUCUAAGGCUUGGUGUCCUAGAGGGACCAAAUAAAUCCAUAUGCAACAAUUCAAGAUGCAUAGUUGUUGAAAUGAAAUUUUUGUUUUUAAAAGAGUUUUUGAUUUGCUUUCCCACUUGACAAGCUUCACAAACUUUGUCUUUUUGAAAAUUUAUUUUGGGAAGGCCUCUAACAAGUUCAUCUUUGUUGAGUUGGGAAAUGAGGUCCAUGUUAGCAUGUCUCAACCUCCUAUGCCACAACCAACUUUGAUCAUGCAUGCUUGAAAAGCAUCUAUCAUGGCCAUCAUAUUUUGAAAUAUUUAUUGCAUAAACAUUAUCACAUCUAUGGCCCAUGAAGAUGGUUUUAUCAUUUUGAAUAUCUUUGAUGAUGCAAUGAGAUGCUUCAAAAAUCACUUUAAAACCUUUGUCACAAAGUUUUCUUAUGCUCAAAAGAUUAUGUUUUAAACCAUCCACUAAUAAAACACUUUCAAUAAGAGAGGAUAUGUCAUUACCAAUGUUGCCUUGACCAAUGAUCAUUCCUUUUGAAUUGUCUCCAAAGGUAACGUAUCCUCCCUUUCUCUUUGUAAGGAAAGCAAACUUGGAUUCAUCCCCGGUCAUGUGUCUUGAGCAUCCACUAUCCAAGAACCACUUAUCCUUCUUUGAUCCCUAUAAAAUAAAAUUUAAGCUGAUUUAGGUACCUAUAUCUUUUUGGGUCCUUGAGGGUUAGUGACCUUGGAUUUCUCAACCCAAACCUUUUUAGGUUUAGCAUUUGAAUUCUUUUGAGAACAAUUUCUUAAGGGACAUGUACUACAAAUGUGCCCUCCUCUUCCACAAAAGUUGCAAGUGGUGGAAGGACUUGCACUUGCGGAUUCUUUUACAAAGUAGUUUUUAAAAUACUUUUGAUUUUUUUUUUUAAGAUUUGAAUCCUAGCCCUUGUUUGUCAAAGACACAUUUUUGGCUAGCUAAGAUCAUUUCAAAAUAUUUUUGUCCACAAGAGAAAAUUGAAAGAGAGGAGGUUAACCAUUCAUUUUUCUUUUUCAAAAUCUCAUUUUCUUUUUCAAGAUGAGUUUUAGAUAUUUCAACAAUUGAAAAUCUUUCUUUCACUUCUUCAAGUUCCUUUUCAAGUUCUUGAAUUUUCUUUUUAAGAGAAUUAUUUUUCAAACUAAGUUUUUCAAAAUCCUCAUAUAAUUCUUUAAAAACAUCAUGCAUAUCUUUAUCACUAAAGUUAGAUUUUACCUCAUCAAGAUCAUCUAUUUCCAUAAAGCACAUGUUUGCCACUUCCUUCUCAUUUUCUUCUUCAGAGGAUUCUUCACUUUCACUCCAAGUGGCCAUCAUUGCCUUCUUCAUUCUUCUCUUGGCUUCACUCUUGUAGAGAGGACAAUCAUAUUUAAUGUGUCCCGAUUUUUUGCACUUGAACCAUAUCAAAUCUCUUUUCUCUUCCCAUUUCUCCUUGUCACCAUGGGAUGAAGAUUCCUUUUUAGAAGGAUCCCUUCCAAAGGUGAAUUUCCUUCCUCUAAACCUUUCACUUCUCAUGUAUUUGUUGAGCUCUCUUGUGAUGAGGGCUAAAUCAUCAUCUUCAUCACUUGGCUUUUCUUCUUCAAAAUCUUCUUCUUCCUUGGUUGUAGCUUUGAGGGUUAUACUCUUCUUCUUUUUGUCUUCACCCUCUUGUAGCUUCUUUGUCAAAUUGAUCUCAUAUGUCAUUAAUGACCCUAUGAGCUCUUCUAUAGGUAGCUUAGUCAAGUCUUUUGCUUCUUGAAUUGCGGUGACCUUGGUAUGCCAUUUUGAUGGGAGAGACCUCAAUAUCUUCAUCACCUUCUCGAAUUCCUUGUAGGUUUUUCCCAAAGCUUCAAGACCAUUGACAAUGUCGGUGAACCUAGUAAUCAUCUCAACAAUAGUCUCAGUUUCUUUCAUUGAAAAUAAUUCAUAGUUAUGAACAAGUAAAUUGAUUUUUGACUCUUUCACUUGAUUAGUUCCUUCAUGAGUUAUUUCAAGCAACCUCCAAAUUUCUUUAGCCGAUUUGCAUUGUCAUAUUCUAUUAUAUUCAUUUCUAUCCAUAGCACAUUGCAAAGUAAAACCGGCUUUAGCAUUUAAUUGAAAGUUUCUUCUAUCAAGCUCACUCCAUUCUUGCUUGGGUUUUGGAACCAAAACUCCAUCAACUAGUUUAGUGGAAAAAGUUGGGUCAUCUUCAAUGACAUCCCAUACAUCUAAAUUAGUUGAUUGCAAAUACCAAGUCAUUUUAGUUUUCCAAUAGGAAUAGUCGGUUCCCGUAAAGAAUGAAGCUCUAUGUUUUGAAAAAAUUUCAGCUUGGGAUGAGCUUGAUGGAAUAGCCAUUUCCUCUUAGACGAUUAAGUCUUUAGAAAAAAACAAGAGGUCUAGCUCUGAUACCAAUUGAGAAAACAAAGGCUAUACUUAGUUAAGAAAAACACCCAAAAGGGGGGAGAGGGUGGUGAAUUGGGUUUUUAAAAUCUUUUCAAUCACAACAAAUUCAAACACAAUAUAAGCAAAAUAAAGAGAUAGAGUUUAGAGAAUUCAAACUUAGGUUUAUAGUGGUUCGGCACUUCCUUGCCUACGUCCACUCUCCUCAACCUCCUAAUUGAGUGAGGGUUCCACUAACUUGAAGCUUCAACCAAGCUUCCAAUCUUCUUACACUUAGAUUCUGGCUCCAAUGGGCUCUUACACAAUCUCUUCAAGAUUCAAACCUCUUGAAGGCUUUGACACUCAGAUUUUUAUAAGAAAUGAUCCCUCAACCUAGCUUAAGGAUAGCUCAAAUACAAGACAAAGCUAGGAUGACACACAAGAGUGCACUAAAUGAUAUGCAAGUGGUGAUUUAAUGCACUAUGAAAGAAAUGAGAGCUUUUUUAUCAAGAACAGGUAGGUAGGCUAUUGAAUGCAAGUGUUCUAUUGUAAUAAAUGAAGUGGAGCUCUCAAUUUAUUGGUUUCAAAACUCGGGAGUCAAAAACAGCAAAAGGUAACCUCGUCCGGUCGAGCUAAGGGUCGACCGGUUCACUAGCCAUUGGAGCAUUUAAUGCAUGACAGGUUACCGUUGCCUUAACCGGACCUCGACCGGUCCUCGACCGGACAUCGAUCGGUAAGAGAAUCCCCUCGACCGGGAAGAGAAGGCUACUGGGAAAGAGAGAAACUUUUUGGCCUCCCUCGACCGGUCCUUGACCAGACGAGCACAACCGGUUUACCGGUUCCUUAACCGAUUGAGCUGGUUGGCCAUAGCCUCGACCGAUUGAGCCUUUUUUGCCCCGAAAACCUAUUUUUUUAAUUCCUUUCUUUUCUAACACUUAGGCAAGGUCUUUAGGUAAAUCAUUAAGCCAAUUAUAAAAUAUUUUGCCUAAGGUACAUUACUUAAAAACUCAGGUUUUAAUGAAAUCGACGUUUUAAAUAAUAAACCAAGUUUUCAAAGAUGCAUGAAAUGUGUGAAAAUCCUAAGUGCACUCAUGCAUUCAUCUUACAUUAGUUUCCUAUUAUCACAAGUCUUACAAGCGUCUCGAUCUUGUAUCCAUUUGGUCCUUUGAUGAAUUUUCGAGUUUAUGCCUGAGAUUCUUAACCAUUAAAUAAAUUAGUCACUUAACCAUGGUUUGUUAUCAUCAAAACCCGAUUAGGAGAACCCUUGGGCUAACAAUAGCAAUAUCAUUUCCAGUGUUUAUUAAAUCAUCCACACAUAAAUAAACAAUGAGCAUUUUUCCUCCAUCACCAAUUUUAACAAAAAGUGUAUGCUCACAUUUUUUAAAACCUUUCUUCAAAAAAUAAGCAUCAAUCCUCCUACUAUACCAAGCUUGUGGGGCUUGUUUUAGUCCAUAUAAAGUUUUCUUUAAUUUAUACACUUUAUGCUCAUUUCCAACCUUAAUAUAACCAAGAGGUUGAUUAAUAAAUACCUGUUAAGAAUUGAGCUAUUUUUCCGUUCACAAACUCCGUUUUGUUGAACAUGUAAGUUGCAGUGAGUUGCCUCCUGAUUCUACGAUUCUCACAAAAGUUUGCAAAUUCUUAUGAGAUGUAUUCUCCACCACAGUCUGUACAAAGAACUUUGAUUGGGCUGCCCAUGUCUUUCUCAACUAGCACUUUAUAGGUUUUAAAGGCUGUAAAAGCUUCAUAUUUCUCCUGCAAAAAAUAUACCUAAGUUUUCUGACUAAAAUCAUCAAUGAAGGUAAUUAUGUAUCUUUUACCUCCAUUUGAAGAUGGAUGUAUUGGGCCACAUAGGUCAUAAUGCACCAGCUCCAAUGCCUUCUUUGCUCUCCAUGACUUUCCUUGUGGAAAUUGAUUUUGGUGUUGUUUGCCACUACACAUUCUUCACAAACUUGUUGAGGGAAUUCAAUUUGAGGAAGGCUAGUCACCAUUUUUUUUUUAUUAUAAUGUCUUGAGUCGAAAAUGCCAAAGCCUUGCAACAUCCUCCAUCUUAGUAGAGAAGCAUAAAUUAGUAACACUAUGGAGAUACAAAGGAAACAUACGAUUGGCAGUCAUAUGGACUUGAGCAAUCAGGCCUUUCUUUGAAUCAUGAAUUUUGCUCCAAUGAUUUCUCCUCCUAUGCAUGUGUCUCUCAACCAAGCACACAUUUUCUCCCUCUGAUAUCAACUUCCAUAGUCUUGUAUUUUUGCCCACGUUUUGAGGCAACAUGUCAAAGGCGAAGGUGAAAAACUUUAUGAAAGAGGAUUUGAUGAAAACAAAAAUGUUUUUAUGACUAUAGUUAAGAAUUCACUCAAGGCUUUUAUCAUUUUUAGAUUGUCAAUUAUAUUUUUCAUCUUUUUUGGACAAUGGUUGAUGUACAAAAGGUUUUAUAGUUAAGAAUUAACUCAAAGCUUCAUCAUCGUCUUUUUCAAGGAGUUAUAUAACCUCAUAUAUUCAAGGACAUACUCUUGGUACUUAUCAAAACAAUUAAUCUUAAUCAGUCAUGAUAAAAACUCAAUUAAUCCUAGAUUGACUAUUCAAAAUAUGUGCCAUCAAUAUGCCUUUAUUACAACAAAAAUUAGUGCUUUUGAAAAAUUAAUGUUUUUAUAUAAAGGACAAACAUUCAAACUUGGUGUGCAAUUCCUCGUGACAGUAUCCCAUUUAAUUUUUAGUAUAAACAUAUUCUAUUUUCACUAUGUUAUUUUUAACAAGCUCCCUAAUAUAGUAUAAUCAAAUGUUAAUAUGCUUAGUCCUACUACGCUUAUUGAAAUCGAAGCAAUUAUUGCACUACUAUUAUCACACAAGAUGAACAUAGUAUUGCAUUUGAUUCCAAAAUCUUCUAUCAUCUAUUUAAUCCAAUUUAUUGAGUAUAAGAAUUACCUAUACUAUUCAACUUUUGUAGUAGAUAAGCAAAUAUAAUUCUGCCUUUUUCUCAUCCAUGCAACGAAGUUGCUCCUGACGUAAAAUCAACCUCUUGUAGUACUGUUUUAUAAUACAAGAAACCUAGAGUAAUAUUGUUAGUACACUAUAACCCUAAAUUGUAAGAUCUAGCAAUACAGUUGAUGAUCAUUUUUACUAUUGCGAGACGAGAUUCUUUUGGGCUUGAUUGGUAGCACAAAAACCUACACUACAUGCUAUGUCUAGCCUACUAGAUGUAAGAUACAAGAGAUCUCCAAUCAUGCUUCUAUGUGAUGUAGAUUGAUCAAUCUCCUUACUUUUUUCAUCCUUGGAGAACAUAACACUUGUUCUGACAAAGGUUCUCUCAUGUUUAGCUGAUUCCAAGCCAAACUCUUUACCAACUCUAUAGCAUAAUUGACUUCGAUAUAAAGAUUCCAUUUUUAAUCUGUCUUAUUUGCAGUCCAAGAAAGUAAAAUAACUUUUUCAUUGUGCUCAUUUCCUGAAUAAAUUCAUGUGCUUCAUCAGUUAAUGUGAAACUAAAUUUGAUGUUAUCGACAUAUACUUGGGCUACUACAAGGACACCAUCCUUUCUCCUUACAAACAAAGUCCUAUGAAAUGUAUGUCUUUCUUUAUAAGAUGGUUAAAAAAUAUUUUUAAACUUAUUUUUUACGAUGAAGAAUAAAUUUUAAUGAAAGUAGUAGAUGAAGAGUACAUGAGAAAGAAUUUCGUUUUAUAGUAAAAUUUUAUUAGAAUAAAAGGAGUUUCUUUUAUUGUGUGAAUUUUUUAUUUUUUGAAAGAAUUAAGAAUAAAAUAUAAAUUUUUUUUACUAAGAAAAAGGGUAAUAUUAAGACUAAAAUUUCAUAUAAUUUUAAAAAUAAGGGACCAUGUUUUGCUACAAGUGCAAUAUAUCUAAUUUUUUAGAAUUCAAUUAGUAAUGAGUAAUGAGAACAAAAGAAAAAGGAAUCCUAAAUUUUAUAACUACAAAUUAAGAUAUGCAUAUUAAUUAAAUUGAAUUAAAAUUAAAAUAUAAAAUUGAAUAUUAUAAUUAUAUAAGAAGAUGUGACAACAAAUAAAAUCGUUCUAAUGUGAUAUUUGAAUGUAUGUCAAGCAAGUAGCAACAUAUGUUUAUGAAAUGGCAAAAGAACAAAAUCCCUUUUUAUAAAGAUAUGAAAGUCCCCUAUUUUUCCCAAAACAGACAUUAAUUGAAGAAGAUGGCAUGUGGUGCGCCCAUUCAAAGUGACUGUUAUAUUAAGGGCUCCACAGGCUUGUUAAUGCUGCUUUGUCUCUUGCAUAGGCCCUUUUGUAUACGGUUUGGGAUAAAAGCCUGCUGGGCAUUUACAACCCAUCUUUGUUGGCCUCUUCUCAGCUUUGACCAAAUCCUAGCUUUCACAUGCACACCUGCACCAUUUCUUGUUCCUGCUCUACAGGACCGGCGAAAAUGACAACAUAUCUUGUUUUCAAAAUCAAGAGGAGUGCACCUACUAUAUUUUAUUGAGCUUAAUGUGAUUUGUCAUCAAAAUAAGGGUUUUAAGAAAAGGAACUUAUCUUAGUCUACUACAAUGUGAACAUCUUAGUUUAGAUGACACAAGUAGUACAUUCCUAUCCAACGAGAAUGAGAAUAGGAAUCUAAGUUUUCAAUGUGAAGAAUAUAGUCUAAGUCUAGGUGAUAUGAUAAGUAUAUUUCUAUCCAAUGAGAAUAUUAAAACUUUAAAAAAAAAAUGCUGCACAACACCCACAUAAUAUUUAUUUCAUCAAUACUUAGAAAACACAAACUCGAGUAGCACGAUAAGUUAUAAAAGAAACAUCUUUCUUUAAAGCGCUCUCCAAUCAUGGACAACACUCUCAAGAAGUCCCAAACGUAGAGGCAAACACAAUUUUAUUACCCUUGAUAAUAUUAUUAGGCAAGGGAGGGGGAUUGGACCAAUGCAACUAGUCCUAGAAGCAUCACUUGGCAUUUCACAUCACAGCUUUUCCUCUUUGGUGUGGUACUUGACGUUGAAGCAAUUGACGCCAACGUAAACACCAUCAUCCAUAUUGUAAACAACAUUUUUCCCGUCGGUCAAAGUGUCGUGCUGAGUGUAGGAGAAAGGGACGUCGCACGAACCCUGUGUUGCUAUCAUGCUUACGGUCACCUUAGUCAUCGCCGGCACAGUAACAUUGUACACAGUCUCCAUUGCUGUUGUCACUGAUUCAGUUUCUCCCCACUCAUAUGUACCGCUAAACUCGGAUGAAAUUUCUAACUUUCCGUCAGCGAUGAAUGGAACGCCGCUUUCCAUGGUCAUUUUGACACCCAACUUCAAUGAGACGCUGCCCUUCCAAGUACGGCUCUUAGUCUCUGUAUACGAGAGCUUCACCUGUUGGGUGUGCAGUUCUUGGGUCAUGUUAAUGGCUUCCCCGGUGGUCAUCACGAUGACCCUCUGGUCGUAGGUCCUAGCGUCCAUGAGGCGAAAAUUGACAUUAUAGAUGUUUCUUGAUAAAACAAGCUCUGCCACCUCCAGGCGUGCCUCUCUGGAAAUUGUGGAGACCCCGGCAUUGAGACAGCUGAUCUUGCCCUCGGUGGUGAGUCUCUUACAGAAAUUGUUGUUACCUAAGUUGCGGAGAGCGACCACAUUUUUGUCAACUCUAACGGGCCAAAACAAGGUAUCGGGGUUGUUGGUGGUGGAAUCAUCUGAGUCAGCCCAUAUCCAGUUAGGGCUGCGCCUCCAGAAUCUGCCGAAGUAAUCUGACUUUAUGUGGACACUUCCAUCGUGAGUGGUGAAGACCUCGUUCCCCACCGUCGGGUCUCCAAUGUCACUUGAUGCGAACUCCAGAUAUGGGUGUCCCUCGAUCGUCCGGGCACUGAGGAAGUAGCCAUUAUCACCCUUGAAGGCGAUAUGUUUUGGCAAUAGCAAUAGUGAUUCCCAAUCAAUGAUUGUACAGACAUCGCAGAGGUCGUUGUCAGGCGAAGUUGAUCCUGCAAACAAACAAGAACCAUAAGGAGGUGGAAGCCUCCAUAAGCAUGCAUAGUGUCCAAGCUGGACGUGGCGAAAUUGGAGUGUUUGAGCAUCGCCAUCCACGUAGACAGGCUCAAACAAGGUACAUGACCAUGACGAUUGGUCUUCAUCUGGUUCGUCGGCCCCGGCAACAAUCCACCAGUGGUUCUUGGACCACCUUACCCAGUAUUUGUUGUUGUAGCAGCAUCUUAUGUGCACUAGUCCCUUGCCAUUCUUUGCCAUCUCCACUUGGUACUUUGAGUAGGGGGUCACGACCUCCUCUCCCGAGAAUUGGAGAAAUCCAUG